rnacentral:rRNA from 1 species
AGCGGCAGCGCGGGUACUUGUACCUGGUGGCGAGCGGCGGACGGGUGAGUAAUGCCUAGGAAUCUGCCUGGUAGUGGGGGAUAACGCUCGGAAACGGACGCUAAUACCGCAUACGUCCUACGGGAGAAAGCAGGGGACCUUCGGGCCUUGCGCUAUCAGAUGAGCCUAGGUCGGAUUAGCUAGUUGGUGAGGUAAUGGCUCACCAAGGCGACGAUCCGUAACUGGUCUGAGAGGAUGAUCAGUCACACUGGAACUGAGACACGGUCCACACUCCUACGGGAGGCAGCAGUGGGGAAUAUUGGACAAUGGGGCGAAAGCCUGAUCCAGCCAUGCCGCGUGUGUGAAGAAGGUCUUCGGAUUGUAAAGCUCUUUAAGUUGGGAGGAAGGGCAGUUAGCUAAUACCUAUCUUUAUUGACUUUACCGGUACAAUAAGCCCCCGCUAAUUCUUUGGCAACUCCCUGGGUAGUACA